rnacentral:lncRNA from 1 species
CAGGGAUGUCCAGCCAGCGGCUUAGGGUGGCAGAGAUUCCUGGAAGACCGCCCCUCCCUGCACCCCAGGAACGCCUCCCUUUGCCGGGCAGCCCCUGCCCUGGAGUGAGUAUUGUUUUGCUCCUUUGGCAGAACUUCCUGGAUCAAGUUAAGAAAGUUCGUCUGGCUGCCAGAAGGUUUCUUGUGUGGAUUUAUUGAGCCCCCACUGAGCAGAGGCGUCGAGGCUGUGAGUUGUAAGACACUAACACUCAUUCAUUCAGUGGAUCCUUUUGAGCAUCCCCUCUGAUCCAGGUGCUGGAGAUACAGGGGCAAGGAGACCAACGAGGGAACAGUGACUCUCACAGAGGAGAACAGGAAGCUGCUUCUCACCCUUGUAUCGUUCUAUUAUCACCGGGAUUUUGGUUGGAUGCUGCUCUCGAAUAAGUCGGACAUCUUCUACUCUUUGUUCGAAGGUGCGCCGCUGCUUGAAGGUCUUCUCCGACGGCAUGGUGUGG